rnacentral:rRNA from 1 species
CCUACGGGAGGCAGCAGCAGGGAGUUUUGGACAAUGGGCGCAAGCCUGAUCCAGCCAUUCCGCGUGAGUGAAGAAGGCCUUCGGGUUGUAAAGCUCUUUCGGCAGGAACGAAACGGUGGGGGCUAAUACCCUCUGCUAAUGACGGUACCUGAAGAAGAAGCACCGGCUAACUACGUGCCAGCAGCCGCGGUAAUACGUAGGGUGCGAGCGUUAAUCGGAAUUACUGGGCGUAAAGCGUGCGCAGGCGGCUUGGUAAGACAGAGGUAAAAUCCCCGGGCUUAACCGGGGAACUGCAUUUGAGACUGCAAGGCUGGAGUGCGGCAGAGGGGGGUGGAAUUCCAGGUGUAGCAGUGAAAUGCGUAGAGAUGUGGAGGAACACCGAUGGCGAAGGCGGCCCCCUGGGUUGACACUGACGCUCAGGCACGAAAGCGUGGGGAGCAAACAGGAUUAGAUACCCUUGUAGU